rnacentral:rRNA from 1 species
GACGAACGCUGGCGGCGUGCCUAAUACAUGCAAGUCGAGCGAUGAAGAUUGGUGCUUGCUCCAAUUUGGAGAGCAGCGAACGGGUGAGUAACGCGUGGGUAAUCUGCCUUUGAGCGGGGGACAACAUUUGGAAACGAAUGCUAAUACCGCAUAACAACUUUAAACAUAAGUUUCAAGAUUGAAAGAUGCAAUUGCUUCACUUAAAGAUGAUCCCGCGUUGUAUUAGCUAGUUGGUGAGGUGAAGGCUCACCAAGGCGAUGAUACCUAGCCGACCUGAGAGGGUGAAGGGCCCCAUUGGGACUGGGACCCGGCCCAAACGUCUUCGGGGGGCAACAAGUGGGGAGCUUUGGCCAGGGGCGGAAGUCUGACCGAGGAACGCCGCGGGAAGGAAGAAGGGUGUCAGGUCGUUAAAAUCUGUUUGUAGAGGAAAACGUUGGUGAGAGUGGAAAGCGCAUCAAGUGACGGUAACUACCCAGAAAGCGACGGCUAACUACGUG